AGCAGUUGCUACAUCUGUAACACUUAUAAAUUAGUAGUUUUCAAAUUCAAAUCAUCAAUCUAAUUAAUAAUUUGAAUAUGAUCCAAGCUAUUGAUCAGGUCAUGCUCUUUUUGUGUGUGAUUCCUUAGGUGUUAUUCUGUCUAAUAGUGAGACAUAUCGUGAUCUCUUUUAUAGUAUCAUCGAAACUCCUUUCGAUGGACUGAAAUGAUUCCAACUUACCCCAAUAAGGAUCGUUUAUCCGAAAAUGAUCCUAAUGAGUUCCCACGAUCUACCAAUGACGCCUAGUAGCAUGUAGUGGUAAUUCAAUAGAAUAGAAGAAUAAAUCUCUAGGUGUAGUUACCGUAUGAUACAAUCCCUCUAUCCUGAGUCUCGACUAGACGGAGGUCAUGGAGAACUCGUCAAACCCCAUCAUCAGUCAUAUGCUAGAUUGGCUCGAUUCGAGUUCAUUUAUGAAUUUCAUAAAAUUUUUUUUUUCAGUAUUCACACUUGCUCUGGUCAGAGACUUCCUGAACUUAGUCUAAUGAAUCACAUAGGAUUACACUUUUUCUAUCAAGAUUGAUAGAUUCUAUCUUGAUGUAUUCUACUCAAAUAGUAAAUCUGAACUUACUAUAGCCAACAUAUACGUCAAGGACCCAAAUGGUUAAGGACCAAAGAAAUAUGCAGUUAAACUAAGUAGCCUCACUGUGAAUAGCCAGCAUACUGUAGGUCAAAGGAUCAGUCACACCACUAUAGUAUCGAGAAAAUCAUUGACGAGUGAGUAGACAUUCAAGUAAUU
rnacentral:lncRNA from 1 species